rnacentral:rRNA from 1 species
AGUGAACGCUGGCGGUAGGCCUAACACAUGCAAGUCGAACGGCAGCACAGUAAGAGCUUGCUCUUACGGGUGGCGAGUGGCGGACGGGUGAGGAAUACAUCGGAAUCUACUUUUUCGUGGGGGAUAACGUAGGGAAACUUACGCUAAUACCGCAUACGACCUACGGGUGAAAGCAGGGGAUCUUCGGACCUUGCGCGAUUGAAUGAGCCGAUGUCGGAUUAGCUAGUUGGCGGGGUAAAGGCCCACCAAGGCGACGAUCCGUAGCUGGUCUGAGAGGAUGAUCAGCCACACUGGAACUGAGACACGGUCCAGACUCCUACGGGAGGCAGCAGUGGGGAAUAUUGGACAAUGGGCGAAAGCCUGAUGCAGCCAUACCGCGUGGGUGAAGAAGGCCUUCGGGUUGUAAAGCCCUUUUGUUGGGAAAGAAAAGCAGCAGGUUAAUACCCCGCUGUUCUGACGGUACCCAAAGAAUAAGCACCGGCUAACUUCGUG